CUUCAUAAAUGUUAACAGAGGAAGAAAAAAAAAAAGGAGGAAGGGAUAUCUGAAGAUUUUUAUCUUGUGCCCUCAGGGAUUGGGAGGAGAGGAAUGGGGGAAAUUGAGUCACCAUCUGUGGAGGCAGAAACUUCCAGAAGAACCAAAAGCUUAGGGAAGGAUCCACAGACCCCCCCUCCGAGAUAAAGAGGGCUGUGGAGGAUGCCUCCACCUUUCCCAGGCAUCUGUAAAUUCCUGGGAUGUGUCAGCAGCGGGCAAGUGGGCUGGAGGCACAUCAGACAAGAGGUUUCAAUUUCUAGGCCAUCAGGAUGGCAUCAAAGGAAUGUCAGCCUAGACCAGGUCAUCCUGGGAGAUUCCCCAGCCAAGGUCUUCAGCCCGGACGGCUCCAUCUCACCUGAGAGGGGCUGUCAGUGUGCUCCUCCCGAGGAGUGGAGAAGACAGAGUCCCUGACGAGAGGACCCCUACCACACCAGGGAAGGGAACAGAGACUGGGAAGGGCUCUGAGCCAAAUCCUGUCUUUGCAAAUAGGGGCAAUCUCCGUAGCAGCAACAUGCUUGCCACAGGCAUGGAAUCAUUUCAGGCCAGCAGCCACAGUCCUCGGUAUACCUUUGGGUGGCCACAAAGAGCACAUGGAGAGUAAAAUUAAGGUCCAGUUCUUCCAGAGCAGAAGCUGGAUCUGCCUCGCGAAGCCCAUGCUGGUGACCACGGGAGACCCGAUGACGCGGAGCGGCCGAGGCUCUGGGGAGCAGUGGGCGUGAAUGCCGCCAGAGCACCUCCGGCCCAGGCUGUGUCCUUCUCUGGGUGAUUAAAGGCUCCUUUCCCCUAGCAAA